CCUACGGGAGGCAGCAGUGGGGAAUAUUGGGCAAUGGGCGCAAGCCUGACCCAGCAACGCCGCGUGAAGGAAGAAGGCCCUCGGGUUGUAAACUUCUUUUAUCAGGGACGAAGGAUGUGACGGUACCUGAGGAAUAAGCUCCGGCUAACUACGUGCCAGCAGCCGCGGUAAUACGUAGGUGGCAAGCGUUAUCCGGAUUUAUUGGGUGUAAAGGGCGCGUAGGCGGGAUGGCAAGUCAGAUGUGAAAUCCAAGGGCUCAACCCCUGAACUGCAUUUGAAACUGUCGUUCUUGAGUGCUGGAGAGGUAGACGGAAUUCCGAGUGUAGCGGUGAAAUGCGUAGAUAUUAGGAGGAACACCAGUGGCGAAGGCGGUCAACUGGACAGCAACUGACGCUGAGGCGCGAAAGCGUGGGGAGCAAACAGGAUUAGAUACCCGGGUAGUC
rnacentral:rRNA from 1 species